AUAUGAAUAUCAACACGAAAUUGUUCAUCAGCGUUAUUUGUGCCAGCUUUUUCACCUUCCAGCUUCUUUUCUACUUUGUAAGUUACUGGUUUUCACAAAAGUUUCUCCAAGUUUCAAUAGUCUUAGCUUUGAAAAGAAGAUUGAAUGGAACUCAAGGGUGGUAUUUACAUGCCAUUCUUUGGUGGUUGGUGUUCUUGGCCUGUACAUUUUCUUAUUUGAUGAGGCUGCUAAAGCUGAUCCACUUUGGGAUGGUCCAUCACUUGCAAACGUGAAUAUUGCUAUUGCUGGCUACCUCAUUUCUGAUUUGUCCAUUAUCAUUUUGUAUUGGAAAGUGAUUGGUGACAAAUUUUUUAUAAUACAUCAUUGUGCGGCCCUGUGUGCAUACUGCUUUAUAC
rnacentral:lncRNA from 1 species